UACGAUGGGCCGAAUUUAGCAGGCUUGGUUGAUGGCGGGUACGAACGAGCCUCCUCUCUCAUCAAGCGCAAAGACCGAGUUUAAGAUUGUAACCUCGUAGUUUUCGCUCAAGAGCAGAAGUGGAGAUCACAAAGAAGGUCUAAUGGCGUGUUCCUCUUAUUGCUGUUGAAAGAUGGAAGCGAAAGAAGCUGCUAACGAGUUUCAAAAGAAAGGCACAAAGCGUAGGAAGGGAGUGGAAGACAGUAGCAAAAGAUCUGGGAAUGCGGGUGCUCCACGUACGCGUUCUCAGGUAGCUCCUGACUGGACCACCAAGGAAGCACUCAUUCUUGUCAACGAGAUUGCUGCUGUUGAAGGGGAUUGUUUAAGAGUUUUGUCUUCCUACCAGAAAUGGAAAAUUAUAGUCGAAAACUGUACUGUUUUGGAUUUACCACGCACUGCGAAUCAGUGUCGGAGCAAGUGGAAUUCGUUGCUGGCUGAGUACAACCAGAUCAAACAAUGGGAUUCCAAGUCCAAGAACGAUUCGUAUUGCUUUUUGGACUGUGAAAGGAGAAAACAAUUAGGACUUCCUGAGAAUUUUGACAACGAGCUCUUCAAAGCUAUUGACGAUUAUGUGAGGGCACAGAAGGACCGCCCGGAUACGGAUCCAGAUACUGAUCCGGAAGCACAGGCUGACCUGCUUCAUGUAAUAGCAAAACUUGGGUCCAAGAGAAAACUUAAUGCAUUACUAGGAGAAAAGCCUCAAAAUUGCUGCACAAAGGAACAGCCUCUGAAAUUCCAUACUGGAGAGGAACCUCAGAAUAGUUGGAAGGGAGAAAAUCCUCAGAUGUGCUGUGAAAAGGAAAAGCCUCAGAAUAUCCAGGCUGAAGAGAAACCUCAGAAGACUCUUAUGGAAGAGAAGCCUAAAAAUGACUGCACACAAAAAAGGAAGAUAACUGGCACAGAAGAAAUGGACCAAAUGAUGGUGGACAGGCUGCGAGAGAAUGCAGAAUUGAUCCAUGCUAUAGUUCAAGAAAACCCUCCUGAGAUAGCAGACUUUGGGGCCGCUGAUUUUGUAAGAGGUCAAGGGGACAAGCUUAUUGCAUGCCUUGGUGAUAUUGUAAAUAUCCUUAACCAAUGUCCUCAUCUUGUCCAAGCCAGUGACUAGCUGAUGAAUCUCGUUAAAUUUAACUUUCAGAGUACUGGUGGAAUUCUGUAGCUAUCUUGACUAGAACCAGUGGAAUUAAGUGUUGCUGUCUAGCUUAUGAUCUGGUAUGUCAUAUGUGAUGGGAAAGGCAAUAAAUUGUCAUGUAGUUUGUGGAGAUGGCGUCAAAAUUUGCCGGGGACCAGGAUUUGAUCCAUUGGUUCAGAAGUGAUUAUUGAAUAUAUUCGACCAUGGAGUCAAUUGUUCGGCAAUCAUUGGGAAGAAAACAUAUUUCUACAGUCUUUGCCUGAUUGAAUAGUCAACCGGUGCAGAUGUUAAUACUGCUCUUCGAAAAGGUUCCUUCCAAGCUUGUCCCAUGUUGGUCGUCGGAUGUGUGGGAAGAUUUUGGCCUGUCGUGUGUCUGCAGAGAUAUUUUUUAGAUAAAAGGCGCUCGCAUAGACUUUUUUAAGGAGAGAAUAAUAGAUAUGACAUUUUUUUUACAAUAAUAAAAGAUGUAACAUUAUAAUCA